CCUUGUUUGGAGCAGAUAUGGAAAGUUAGGUCAACAGAGAAGUGGAGAAACAUUAAUGAAAGAAAUAAAAAUGAUAGAAUAAAGCAUGUAGCUUAGGCUGUAGCAUAAAAACAGAAAGUAGAAAGACUUUUGGUCUUCUUUCCAUUUUUGGCCCUCCAACCAAAUCAAACAAACAUCCCCCAAUCGAAGUGCUAUCACGUGCCCUUUCUUUUGCCCGUCCAUCUCCUUUCAAUAUCCAAAAUUUCCAUAAAACUAAACCUUCAUCUUCAUCUUGUUUGAGAGAGAGAGAUGGAUCCACCACAGGUACAAGCCAUAGACACCUCCAGCAAAAGCUAUCCCCCAAUUGAAGACGAGCAAGACAAAAUAGUCGACCAAUGUUGUUCUUGCUUUUACGACUGUACUGAUAGCCUUUUGGAGUACUUGUGCUGCUAUGAUUUCUGGUGUUCCUAGGGAUACAAUUUUUCCAAAAGGGAACUUGUUAGAUGAACUAAUUAUGUUCUUUCGCUUUUGGUUAGCUUUAUUUUGCAGUACAUUACUCGAGUAACAUUAAAAAAAUUAUAAUGAGAUUAUCGUUGGCUUCUUAUUAGGUUAUAGUGGUCUUUUUCCAAUUAUAUGCCUAUGGUUCAUAAACUUAUAUGCUAGAAAGAAUUUGAACCCUUUUUGAUCGUGCAUUAAUCAAUUUUGAUAAUUAAAGAGGCAUUGGUUCUUUCAGCA